rfam:Pan troglodytes isolate Yerkes chimp pedigree #C0471 (Clint) chromosome 7, whole genome shotgun sequence.
GGGAAAUGAGAAGAGGGGCCUGCCUCAGGCCCCACAACAAACUGGGGCA